UACGUAGGGAGCAAGCGUUGUCCGGAAUCAUUGGGCGUAAAGAGCGCGUAGGUGGCUUUAUAAGUCCGUUGUGAAAGUCAAAGGCUCAACCUUUGAAAGCCGAUGGAUACUGUGAAGCUAGAGUACGGAAGAGGCGAGUGGAAUUCCUGGUGUAGCGGUGGAAUGCGCAGAUAUCAGGAGGAACACCGGUGGCGAAGGCGGGUCUCUGGGCAACAACUGACGCUGAGGAGCGAAAGCGUGGGGAGCGAACAGG
rnacentral:rRNA from 1 species